rnacentral:rRNA from 1 species
CCUACGGGAGGCAGCAGUAGGGAAUAUUGCUCAAUGGGGGAAACCCUGAAGCAGCAACGCCGCGUGGAGGAUGAAGGUUUUCGGAUUGUAAACCUCUGUCAGCAGGGAAGAACGGUCACUGUGCUAAUCAGCAGUGAAUUGACGGUACCUGCAAAGGAAGCACCGGCUAACUCCGUGCCAGCAGCCGCGGUAAUACGGAGGGUGCGAGCGUUAAUCGGAAUUACUGGGCGUAAAGCGCUCGUAGGCGGUAUGUCAAGUCAAGGGUGAAAUCCCCGCGCUCAACGUGGGAACUGCCUUUGAAACUGGCAAACUGGAGUGUGUGAGAGGAUAGUGGAAGUCCAGGUGUAGGAGUGAAAUCCGUAGAUAUCUGGAGGAACAUCAGUGGCGAAGGCGACUAUCUGGCACAUAACUGACGCUGAGGAGCGAAAGCGUGGGUAGCAAACAGGAUUAGAUACCCCUGUAGUC